ensembl:lncRNA
AAGAUCCCCUGGAGAAGGAAAUGGUAACCCACUCCAGUAUUCUUGCCUGCAGAAUUCCAUGGACAGAGGAGCCUGGUGGAUUACAGUCCAUGGGGUCACAAAGAGUCAGACACAACUGAGGGACUGACACACACACAUGAAGGAGCCACAAAGCCAGAGAUUGUAGACAAAGAAGGUGAUACAGAUAUUACUGAAAGGGCUCCACAAGAGCAAAUAAAUCAUGACCAUUUGAGUUUUGUUGAUGGAACACACAAAAAUAAUAGAAGUGAUAUGACGUAAGAGAAGGGGAAGAUAUAGAAUCACCUUGAGAUUCUGAGAUUCUCCUGAGAAAUAUCCUAAUGUGAAGAUUUGUCAGCAGAACUGGACUUAGAAAUGACAUCAGAGGAAGAAGAAGAAAAACCUGUUGGAGAUGAAAAUAGCCAUUCCCAG